rnacentral:sRNA from 1 species
GCAGCAGAACCAAGAGCUGCAGGAGCAGCUGCGGAGCCUGGAGCAGCUGCAGAAGGAAAACAAAGAGCUGCGAGCUGAAGCUGAACGGCUGGGCCAUGAGCUACAGCAGGCUGGGCUGAAGACCAAGGAAGCUGAACAGACCUGCCGCCACCUUACUGCCCAGGUGCGCAGCCUGGAGGCACAGGUUGCCCAUGCAGACCAGCAGCUUCGAGACCUGGGCAAAUUCCAGGUGGCAACUGAUGCUUUAAAGAGCCGUGAGCCCCAGGCUAAGCCCCAGCUGGACUUGAGUAUUGACAGCCUGGAUCUGAGCUGCGAGGAGGGGACCCCACUCAGUAUCACCAGGUCAGGAGGUGGCCUUCCUCCCUAUGUCUGUUUAUGGAGUGCCUGCUGUUUAUCAGGCUGUAUCCUAGUGAGAUAAAUAAGAUGUGAUCUAAAUUUAUUCUUAGAGAAGAAUAAAGAAAAACAGGUAUUAUACCAGAUGUCUAUUUAGGGCACAGUUGGAAUAAAAAGCAAGUGGUCAAGAAAGGCUUCGUGGAAGCUAUCGCUCCUGCUGAGUCUUGAAAGCAUUCAUAGGUGUGUGUGCCAGGCUGAC